GAUGCAGGAGACUGGAUGCAGCUGGGAACUGCUGAACACAGCCAGCCCCGGGAGCGGUGAGAGGAGACAAGUGACAGCCACUAGGGAGAACCAGCAGAACUUUACAAGGGGGAGCACGGUGAGAGUGUGACGCAGCCCAGAGAAGACGCAGUCGGGAGCCCGGAGUCUGCAUAGUACCUGCCAGCUAUCCUUCCAGGCAUCGGGAGGAGAGGAGGAGAUCACACUGAGCGUGAUUUCUGACAUUAGAUUACCAUAAACAAGUGGCUGAACAGGAGGAUUAUCUGAUCUGCAGUGACGGGAGGCGGAAGAGAUGUGACGCAAUCCGGCUCUGAGCAGCGCUUUGAAUAUAGAGACGCGGGUCCCCAUGACAACGGGGACGCCGUGCGGCGCCUGAUUGGACACUUAUUGGAGACAGGGUUGCCAUGACAACAAGGGGGAAAUGACGGACUGGUACAGUAGAGGACCAUGGAACUUUUAGUUUAUUUAUAGGGUCCAGCUGGAACUGUUGGCCUGUGAUUGGUGCCCUGGAUAUUUAAAUAUAUGUGUUUAUGGAGAGAUCAGCACUAUAUGUCUGCACCUUGAAAAAGACCCCAGCAUGGGGUUGAAACGCGUCGGUGGUGUCCUUGGAGCUAACAACAAUACUUACAGUGGAGUGGAGUGGAGAUUUUGUAUCCAGUAACAUCAAGCAGGUUUACUGGGGGCAAUCCGGAACCCUUUAGAUAAAACCCACAUGCUUUUUUAGAACUGUUUGGCCACAGUUCUUUACUAUCUGCAUGGCUGUUUCCCCUGUAGACUGGGAUGGGAAUCUGGAGAACGCGGAGCCCCUGGUACUGGAUGAAUUGUCUGUCAGACGGUGCUUUGCCAGUUCUAAAUCAGGUAAGGCCCCCGGCCCAGAUGGGAUUCCGGGAAAUGUUAUCAAGACAUGUGCUGAGCAGUUGGCUGGGAUUUUUACUAUAAUUUUUAACCUUUCUCUUGCCACUUGUCAUGUGCCUAAGUGUUUUAAGUCAUCUAUUAUUGUCCCGGUCCCCAAAAAUGGUAAGGCC